rnacentral:rRNA from 1 species
UAAUAGCUCACUGGUCGAGUCGGCCUGCGCGGAAGAUGUAACGGGGCUAAACCAUGCACCGAAGCUGCGGCAGCGACGCUUAUGCGUUGUUGGGUAGGGGAGCGUUCUGUAAGCCUGUGAAGGUGGCCUGUGAGGGUUGCUGGAGGUAUCAGAAGUGCGAAUGCUGACAUAAGUAACGAUAAAGCGGGUGAAAAGCCCGCUCGCCGGAAGACCAAGGGUUCCUGUCCAACGUUAAUCGGGGCAGGGUGAGUCGACCCCUAAGGCGAGGCCGAAAGGCGUAGUCGAUGGGAAACAGGUUAAUAUUCCUGUACUUGGUGUUACUGCGAAGGGGGGACGGAGAAGGCUAUGUUGGCCGGGCGACGGUUGUCCCGGUUUAAGCGUGUAGGCUGGUUUUCCAGGCAAAUCCGGAAAACCAAGGCUGAGGCGUGAUGACGAGGCACUACGGUGCUGAAGCGACAAAUGCCCUGCUUCCAGGAAAAGCCUCUAAGCAUCAGGUAACAUCAAAUCGUACCCCAAACCGACACAGGUGGUCAGGUAGAGAAUACCAAGGCGCUUGAGAGAACUCGGGUGAAGGAACUAGGCAAAAUGGUGCCGUAACUUCGGGAGAAGGCACGCUGAUAUGUAGGUGAAGCGACU